UUUGGUCGCCAACGAGUGGCGGACGGGUGAGUAACACGUAGGUAACCUGCCCAGAAGCGGGGGACAACAUUUGGAAACAGAUGCUAAUACCGCAUAACAGCGUUGUUCGCAUGAACAACGCUUAAAAGAUGGCUUCUCGCUAUCACUUCUGGAUGGACCUGCGGUGCAUUAGCUUGUUGGUGGGGUAACGGCCUACCAAGGCGAUGAUGCAUAGCCGAGUUGAGAGACUGAUCGGCCACAAUGGGACUGAGACACGGCCCAUACUCCUACGGGAGGCAGCAGUAGGGAAUCUUCCACAAUGGGCGCAAGCCUGAUGGAGCAACACCGCGUGAGUGAAGAAGGGUUUCGGCUCGUAAAGCUCUGUUGUUAAAGAAGAACACGUAUGAGAGUAACUGUUCAUACGUUGACGGUAUUUAACCAGAAAGUCACGGCUAACUACGUGCCAGCAGCCGCGGUAAUACGUAGGUGGCAAGCGUUAUCCGGAUUUAUUGGGCGUAAAGAGAGUGCAGGCGGUUUUCUAAGUCUGAUGUGAAAGCCUUCGGCUUAACCGGAGAAGUGCAUCGGAAACUGGAUAACUUGAGUGCAGAAGAGGGUAGUGGAACUCCAUGUGUAGCGGUGGAAUGCGUAGAUAUAUGGAAGAACACCAGUGGCGAAGGCGGCUACCUGGUCUGCAACUGACGCUGAGACUCGAAAGCAUGGGUAGCGAACAGGAUUAGAUACCCUGGUAGUCCAUGCCGUAAACGAUGAGUGCUAGGUGUUGGAGGGUUUCCGCCCUUCAGUGCCGGAGCUAACGCAUUAAGCACUCCGCCUGGGGAGUACGACCGCAAGGUUGAAACUCAAAGGAAUUGACGGGGGCCCGCACAAGCGGUGGAGCAUGUGGUUUAAUUCGAAGCUACGCGAAGAACCUUACCAGGUCUUGACAUCUUGCGCCAACCCUAGAGAUAGGGCGUUUCCUUCGGGAACGCAAUGACAGGUGGUGCAUGGUCGUCGUCAGCUCGUGUCGUGAGAUGUUGGGUUAAGUCCCGCAACGAGCGCAACCCUUGUUACUAGUUGCCAGCAUUAAGUUGGGCACUCUAGUGAGACUGCCGGUGACAAACCGGAGGAAGGUGGGGACGACGUCAGAUCAUCAUGCCCCUUAUGACCUGGGCUACACACGUGCUACAAUGGACGGUACAACGAGUCGCGAACUCGCGAGGGCAAGCAAAUCUCUUAAAACCGUUCUCAGUUCGGACUGCAGGCUGCAACUCGCCUGCACGAAGUCGGAAUCGCUAGUAAUCGCGGAUCAGCAUGCCGCGGUGAAUACGUUCCCGGGCCUUGUACACACCGCCCGUCACACCAUGAGAGUUUGUAACACCCAAAGUCGGUGGGGUAACCUUUUAGGAGCCAGCCGCCUAAGGUGGG
rnacentral:rRNA from 1 species